CUGUAUCUCUGACAAACCUGGAGCAGUUAAUGUCUGCUCGCUGAGGUUUCCACUAUAGAUGUAAGAAAAAGAAAGUCCCCGUGCUUUCUGUCUGUCUGGUUGUGGCAGCCAAAAUUGAAUGGGAGAAUACAGGA
rnacentral:snoRNA from 1 species